UACAGAGGUCUCAAGCGUUUGUUCGGAUUCAUUGGGCGUAAAGGGUGCGUAGGUGGCGCUGUAAGUCGGGUGUGAAAUUUCGGAGCUUAACUCCGAAACUGCAUUCGAUACUGCGGUGCUUGAGGACUGGAGAGGAGACUGGAAUUUACGGUGUAGCGGUGAAAUGCGUAGAUAUCGUAAGGAAGACCAGUGGCGAAGGCGGGGUCUCUGGACAGUUCCUGACGCUGAGGCACGAAGGCCAGGGGGAGCAAACGGGG
rnacentral:rRNA from 1 species